rnacentral:rRNA from 1 species
GUGUCAGCCGCCGCGGUAAUACGGAGGGUGCAAGCGUUAUCCGGAUUCACUGGGUUUAAAGGGUGCGUAGGUGGAAUGGUAAGUCAGUGGUGAAAUCUCCAAGCUUAACUUGGAAACUGCCGUUGAUACUAUCAUUCUUGAAUAUCGUGGAGGUAAGCGGAAUAUGUCAUGUAGCGGUGAAAUGCUUAGAUAUGACAUAGAACACCGAUUGCGAAGGCAGCUUGCUACACGAUCAUUGACACUGAGGCACGAAAGCGUGGGGAUCAAACAGGAUUAGAUACCCUGGUAGUCCACGCCCUAAACGAUGAUUACUCGACAUCAGCGAUACACUGUUGGUGUCUGAGCGAAAGCAUUAAGUAAUCCACCUGGGAAGUACGAUCGCAAGAUUGAAACUUAAAGGAAUUGACGGGG